rnacentral:hammerhead_ribozyme from 1 species
AGCUGGUUGACGAGUCCAAAAUAGAACGAAAUGCGCAUCCUGGAU